UUGGUGGCGAGCGGCGAACGGGUGAGUAAUACAUCGGAACGUACCUUUUAGUGGGGGAUAACGCAUCGAAAGAUGUGCUAAUACCGCAUAAUCUCUGAGGAGGAAAGGCGGGGACCUUCGGGCCUGUCGCUAAAAGAGCGGCCGAUGGCUGAUUAGCUAGUUGGUAGGGUAAAGGCCUACCAAGGCGAUGAUCAGUAGCUGUUCUGAGAGGAAGAUCAGCCACACUGGGACUGAGACACGGCCCAGACUCC
rnacentral:rRNA from 1 species